rnacentral:rRNA from 1 species
AACGAACGCUGGCGGCAUGCCUAACACAUGCAAGUCGAACGAAGGCUUCGGCCUUAGUGGCGCACGGGUGCGUAACGCGUGGGAAUCUGCCCUUUGGUUCGGAAUAACAGCUGGAAACUGCUGCUAAUACCGGAUGAUGACGAAAGUCCAAAGAUUUAUCGCCAGAGGAUGAGCCCGCGUUGGAUUAGGUAGUUGGUGGGGUAAAGGCCUACCAAGCCGACGAUCCAUAGCUGGUCUGAGAGGAUGAUCAGCCACACUGGGACUGGGACACGGCCCAGACUCCUACGGGAGGCAGCAGUGGGGAAUAUUGGACAAUGGGCGCAAGCCUGAUCCAGCAAUGCCGCGUGAGUGAUGAAGGCCCUAGGGUUGUAAAGCUCUUUUACCCGGGAAGAUAAUGACUGUACCGGGAGAAUAAGCCCCGGCUAACUCCGUG